rnacentral:misc_RNA from 1 species
AAGUCGUAACAAGGUUUCCGUAGGUGAACCUGCGGAAGGAUCAUUAACACUAAAAAAUCCUAUGUCUAAACAUCCGUUUUAGGCAUUUAACCCCCUUUUUAAAAGCGAACUAAACGAAAAAAAAAUUUAUUUUUUUUUUCGUAUUUUUUUUCUUUCUCUAUUUUUUUUACCCAAACCCAAUUGAAAUUUUUAGACUGAAACUUUUUUUUUCCCCUUAAUCGGAAAAAAAUAAAAAAAUAAAACGCUAUACAACUCUUAACAACGGAUAUCUUGGUUCUC